rnacentral:rRNA from 1 species
AUGCAGCCACUGCGGGUGAUGCGGGGAUCGCUAGUCCAGUCAACGCGGGCGAUCGAUCUACAAAGGACAAAGGAGGGGAUCCAGCCGACGCAGCUGAUUCAAGCCGACCCUUCGUCUGCAAGAAACUGCUCCACGGAGAUUUCAAGGGCGCAAUUAUUCUUCAGUUUUUGUGCACAAUUCAUGGCGGGGGUGAUGUGCAUCUCCUUUCCUCUACCUCCGGGUACAGGUGCAUACAUUCCUCAAGAAUAUUGGCCGGUGAACCAAGCCUUAUUGAGAAAUUAG